GACAGAGGGUGCAAACGUUGUUCGGAAUUACUGGGCGUAAAGCGCGUGUAGGCGGCCAUCUAAGUCGGGCGUGAAAUCCCACGGCUCAACCGUGGAAGUGCACUCGAAACUGGAUGGCUAGAGUCCUGGAGAGGAAGGUGGAAUGCUUGGUGUAGAGGUGAAAUUCGUAGAUAUCAAGCGGAACACCGGUGGCGAAGGCGGCCUUCUCGGACAG
rnacentral:rRNA from 1 species